rnacentral:rRNA from 1 species
UACGAAGGGGGCUAGCGUUGCUCGGAAUCACUGGGCGUAAAGGGUGCGUAGGCGGGUCUUUAAGUCAGGGGUGAAAUGCCAAGGCUCAACCUUGGAACUGCCUUUGAUACUGGAGACCUUGAGUCCGGGAGAGGUGAGUGGAAUUGCGAGUGUAGAGGUGAAAUUCGUAGAUAUUCGCAAGAACACCAGUGGCGAAGGCGGCUCACUGGCCCGGAACUGACGCUGAGACGUGAAAGCGUGGGGAGCAAACAGG